UUUGCUUCUAUAGAAAACUUAUCAACACCUAAGUCUAAAAUUACUGAGGGUUGGAAAGUAAGAGCAUUGAAAGGCAUAGAAAAUAAAGGCAAUUUAGAAUAUUGAAAGAGAGGGUUAGAGAGCUGAGAAAAUAAAAGAUGUUGAUAGAGACAGUCCAUGUUGUGUUAAAUAUUCAGAAAGAUAAUCAAGAGCAUUAUUUAAAUGAUUAGAUGAAUCUUGUAUAGACUUGUCAGAAGAAUACAGGACAAUGUCAUCUGCAUAUUGCAGUAUCUGACAGAAAGGUGUAACGGUACUGUUGAGGUCAUGGGUAUACAGAUUAUAAAGAAGGGGACUAAGGACUGAGCCUUGAGGUAAACCUUUCCAAACUGACUUAGGAGGGAGGUAAGAGGAUGGACCUUUAAUAGUGAUGGAUCUCUCCAUUAACAUGUUACAUAUGAAACGGGAUAACUUCACGGGGAUACUCAGCUGGUUGAGUUUACUCCUGAGUAGGGGAAGUGAAACAUUAUCAUAUGCAGAUUCUAUAUUAAGAAAAACUCCCACAAGGUGUUCUUUUCUGAGGAGUGCUAUUCUAAUGUCAGUUGUAAGGAUACCUAAGCUAUCUAAGGAGCUCUUGCCCUUUCUGAAACCGUACUGGGAGUUGGAAAGGAGAUUAUUGGUUUCAACAAACCACUCAAGUCUUUGUUUAAUCAUGAUUUCAGAAACUUUUGCAAGAGCAGAAGAGAGGGCAAUUGGCCUAUAGCUGGUAGCUUCAGAUGGAUUCUGACCAGGUUUAAGUAAUGGAAUAAUUACCUGAUUUUUCCAAGGUGGAGGGAUGGAACCAAGAUCAAAAAGGUUAUUGAUUAUGCUAAGAUAAUAUUCCUUGGUUGUAGAUGAUGAAUUUUUAAUGAAAGAGUAUGGGAUUCCAUCUGCCCAAGGAGCAGAGUCAACUAGGCCAUCCAGAGCAAGAAGAAGUUCAGAGAAUGAGAAGGGGGACUCUAAACUGUGAGUUGAGGCAAGAGGGAUUGGGGGGGAUGGAAAAUAGUCCAUAUUUGGAACUGAAGGGGGGGACAUCCUAUCUGAAAAGGAAUCAAGCCAUACAGAAGGAUCCACAUUAAAAUCACACACCUGAUCACAAAAUGAACCUCUAAAUUUUUUAAUUUGUUUCCAGACAGUUGAGGAUGGAGUGCUUGGUUUUAAAUUCUGGCAAAAAUUAAUCCAACCUUGUUUUUUCUUUUUUCUGAAUAAAUGGGUAGCCUUCGCCGCCACUUUUUUAUAAUAAAUAAAGUUUGACAUGGACAUGU